CGUCUUGUCCAAGGCACCAGCCGCUCCCGCGGGAGGGGGAGGGCGAGAGGGAGAGUUGUCCGCCACCACAACCUGGAUGAACUGGUUUCAUCCUGAAGGUGGUUUAAGGCACGUUUGAGCUGCUGUGAAAGCAUAGGUGAAACUGGAGGAACACUUGGGCUUGCAGUGCCACAGCCCAUCCUGUUCUUGUUCUAUGAAUAGAGGUCUACACUAAUUCUGAAACGGAGAUUUUCCUUCAUGCAGAAUGUGCUACACAGGUCAAAACACUUACAUAAGCAUAUCGAAAAAGAAUAAAACAAGCAAAGCAUACAUUCUCAGGGGAAAGGCCUGAACUCUGGAAUUCACUUCCUCCACACUAGUCUAACAGAGCGGUUUCUGCUGACCUUCAGAGCACAUUGCGAAACCCCAUCUGUUUAUUUAAUCUUUGCUUGAUGGGACAGGUACUUUUGUUCAACCAUGAGGUUAAUCCUUCAGUGACAUUGAAUGUGAUCAGCUAUGUUUUGAUAGCUAACUUUUUUUUUAACCUGGGAGAGUUAAGAAUGGCAUUUUUAUUAACUAUAAAUAAAAAUACAUAUUAAAAGCAGAACAUGGAACCAAAUCAAAACAUAGAUACAAUAGAGAUUAAAGCAAAACCAGCCUGUUCCCUAUCUGUGUACGUGUUUUGUUUCCAUCAGUAAAGCAUACCUGAAAUGUC